rnacentral:rRNA from 1 species
CCUACGGGGGGCUGCAGUCGGGAAUUUUGGGCAAUGGGGGAAACCCUGACCCAGCAACGCCGCGUGAAGGAUGAAGUAUUUCGGUAUGUAAACUUCGAAAGAAUGGGAAGAAUCAAUGACGGUACCAUUUAUAAGGUCCGGCUAACUACGUGCCAGCAGCCGCGGUAAUACGUAGGGACCAAGCGUUGUUCGGAUUUACUGGGCGUAAAGGGCGCGUAGGCGGCAAUUCAAGUCAGCUGUGAAAUCUCUGGGCUUAACUCAGAACGGCCAGCUGA